CUAAAAGCUUCAAUUUGCCAUUUGAUUCUUUCUAUGAGAUGACUAGAUUUUUUGGGAGGACAGGUCUAUCUAUCUGGAAAGAAGCCGUUUGGAAUGGAAGCAGUAUGAAACAAGCAUAAUUUUCUUGGUUUAAGCCAACCUUAUUAUAAGCCCCUGAAUCUUACAACUUUAUUACAUUUCUGCAAAUAUCCAGAAGCUUAUGUAUUUAUUAUUCUUUCAGGCUCUUGAGUUUCUGCUUUCAAGUGACCCUCAGAAAUUCCUCCAUUCACUGCAGAGGUUCUGUUUCUCCUUGCUUUGUUCUGACUUUACGGCAGAACUAAGCUAAUGAGUUAGUUACUAUGGGUUAUCACUUGGAUUUGAAGAACCAUCAUUUCUAGGCAUUGCUGCUCAGAGUGACCUUGCCAUCGUAUCCCCUUUUGGAGACACAAGCCAGGAAGGAAGCUCUUCAGUGCAGCUGUGAAUAGAGAAAUGCUGGCUGAGGUUUUGGAGACACUGGGUGAUCAUUCCCAGUGAAAUUUUUAGAUCCCUGGGGACAUGAGCUGCUUUGUCUUUUCCAAGGUCAGGAUAAACAGAAUAACUUCAGGCUUCUCUACCCAGAAAGAACAUGUGGCAUAAAUAUCAACUGCAGAAUAAAUAUGAUUAAUCUGGUACAUGGACGAAGAUGUUUUCUAGGAGAUGCUUAUCCUGGGAUGAGAGCUUUCAUAAGCAUUGAUAUUUACAUGACUCUUACCGUGUGUCAGGAACUGUUCUAAUUGUUUUACCUAUGUCAAUUCAUUUGAUAGUCACAACCACUGAAAGGAGUAAGUACUCUUAUUACUUCCAUUUUACAGAUAGGGAAACUGAGGUAUAGAGAAGUCAAGUGACUUGCCCGAGGUUAUUAAACUACUUAAUGUCAACACCAGGAUUUGAACCCAGAUCAUUUGUUUCUGAAGUACAUGCUCACAAUCACUGCAUUACUGAUACACUGUUUUGUCUUUGCAUACUUAAGUGGUCAUAACUUAGUCUGAAACACUUUGUGAGAGCAGGAAGCAAACUGUCCCCUUAUUAGGUGGACCAGUAUAGUGAUAAUACAAAAGUGUAUUGCAUUUGAAUUACUUGCUAAUAUCUUCUAAUUGAGGCAAUUUUGAACAGGAAUAUACAUAUCUAGCCUCUAUUUUUCUAGCUAGAAGUUCUGAAAUCCCUGGGCUUAAUAUUGUAUGGCAACAAUUGGCUGGAGUUGAGUUGCUGCCACUCUCUUUUAACUGAGCCAUGCUCUCUCUAGUUUGCUACAGGCCCCACCACUCCCUAUUGCCUCUCCAAUACCAGGUCAUUUGGCAUCUUACUCAGCUCAUUUCAUGCACAUGUGUUCCACAAUUGGUAACAUAACCCUAAAAGUAUUUGAGUUUGUGGCUUCUGCUCUUGUGACAGAAGACUUUUCUCGAAUUCCAAGGUCAACAUAUACCAUAUUGACUCUGGGCCACAUUUUUUAAUGUGCUCAAGCUCAGUUUUUCUCCUUAAAAAAUGAGGGGUUAAAAAUAACACUUCGUAGUUGCCUCAUCUGUGGAUUGGAAGAAUGAAUGCCUGUCAUUUCUAGAGUUGUAGUAAGGGCCAGUUGGGGCAGUGCCUGUGAAUAUACGCAAUGGGCCAUCAAGCAAUCUCAGGGCUUCAGGCAAUGCUGGGGUUUAUAAAGCACUUUAUGUUUUAAGUUCACUUUUAUUUCUAAAGUCUCAUUGACUGCUCUGAAAAUCUCUCAAGUAAAGUGGGCACUAAAGGCUUUAUACUCUCUCCAAUUAUACCUUCCAUUGUAUAGAUUUGGAAGCUGGGGUCCAAAUGUGUUAAAUGACUUGCCUAACAUGGUCCAUUACUGUAAGUACAGAAACGGAAUGAGACCCCAAAUCUGCUUCAUGGAGGGACACUCUUCUAAGAUACUGUGAUGCUUCUUCCCAAGUAAUUCCGUCUUCAGACUUCAAGGUCUCAAUUCGAAUGACAAUUCAAUAUAGGACUUUCAUAAUCUUAAAAGCAACCUGACAGUCAUUACAGUGGGCUGUGAGAAAUACUAACGCAGAGCCACAUACUCUGGGCUUCAUGCUAGGUUUUGCCACUCACUAUCUUUGUGACAUUGGGCCAGUGACUCAACCCAUUAAACCUCAGUUUCUUCACUUAUACAAUAGGGAUAAUGUCAUCUGUUCAGACUACCUUACAAAUUUGCUGUGAGACUCCAUUGAGAUGAUGUCAGUGAAAGCAUGAUGUCACUAUACAUUAAUAUCAGAAUGUGUAUGUCUCUUAGCCUCCUGACUAAAGACUGAGCUUCAGGAGGGUAUGUUGUAGACUGUCUUCUCUAUUCCAGGUGCUUUUGUACUUCUCACAUAAGGAUGCGUGAAAUGCCUAAACAAUAAGACCUUAGCCAUCAGGUGGUUCCAGCCAGGGAAGCAGGAGAUGGAGCCAUGAAAUGAUUCUUUUUUGGGGAUUGCUGUCAAAAAAUGAGGAAUGAUACUCGAGUUGAGGUCUGUUUGCUUUCUACCUGUGCAGGUAUCAGCCUAUGAGAUUCCAAGACAUUCUUGAUCACUAGUCAGCAGUUCACACUGUCAAAAUUCAAAAAUUACUGUUAGGGUAAAGGAACGUUGGAGUUUAAGUCAGAAGAUGUAGCUUUAAAUUUUGAUUCAGUUCUUUAGAAACUGUGUGUCCCUCUCUGGACCUCAACUGGGCUGUCAUAAUUAAAGGCGUUCUUAGACAUAGCAAGAAUUUAUAUUGGUUCUCUUCCUUCUUAUAAGCUUUAUUACAAACACGCAAAUUUUCACUGGAAGCUUGUACUAGGUUUGUAUUGUAUUUGCCUUUUUCUUAUUUUUUUCUCUCUCUUUCUUCCUGUUUUUAAAUCCACUUGUGAGCCAAGUUGGCUCUUAUUCAUUUUAUCCCGAGUUACCAAACACCCUACCCAAAUUGAGAGCAUUUCUUCUCCUCAGGCUGAAAAUACUCAGUGAGUAAACCCAAGGUCUUUAAUAGCAAGACAAUCAGAUCUGCUUAAUGUAAUUUGGUUUCUGCCUCGGAAUUAAUGUCGCAAGAAGUAUUUGAAUGAGGUUUGCUGUCUUUUUUUCUUACAGAAUUGUAGACUGGAUCUCACAAAAAUUCUGGUCAAACUAACAAAUGAUUCACUGAAGAAUGGGGGCAGAAAAAAAAAGCUGGCUGCUUGUUCCCUCUUUCUAGUUAAUGAAUCGAAUUGAUACAGGAACUUCAUCGUGUUCUCAGGGAAAUCCUGUUGGCUGGGGCUCACUCUUCAGCACCGCUAAAUUUAGGUCACGGCUCAGUGAAGAACAAUUACAGAUUCUUAAUAAAAGAUAAUUUACCCAGUGACAUCCAACAGGACAUCUGGGCAGGCGUUCUCAUUUUCUUGUUAAUGUUGUAGAGGUGGGGAGCGUGGAGUAGGGAUGAAUGUUGACAGAAAGUCAUUUUCUGACCUGCUUUGUGGCAUAUGUCAGUCCAUGCUCUUCCAGCAACUGAAAGCUGAACCUAAUGGGACCCCCACAAAAUGGUUUUCUAAAUUGGGCCAGGACAAAAAAAUGCUAAGAAGCUUAGUAGUGGGAAGGCAGAAUUCAUAAGUCCUGCAUUUGAAACCUGGUUGCUCAUGCCUUCUCUGGAUUAAUCUUUUUCUACCUUACCUUCUGCUCUCUACUAACUGCUCUCUCUACUCUUUAGCCAUGCUGAAUUAUUUUAUGGCUCUUCACAAACUGUGAUUUAUCUGUCCCACCUCCUGCCACCCUCCCUUUUUUUUUUUUUUUUUUUUUUUUUUUUUUUUAGACAGGGUCUUGCUCUUUUGCCCAGGUUGGAGUGCAGUGGUGCAAUUUUGGCUCAUUACAACCUAUUCCUGCCAGGCUCAAGUCAUUCUCUUACCUCAGCCUCCAGAGUACCUGGGUUCACAGGUGUCUGCCAUCACCCCUGGCUAGUUUUUGUAUUUUUUGUAGAGACAAGGUUUUACCAUUUUGGCUAGGCUGGUCUCAAACUCUUGAAUUCAAGCAAUCUGCCUGCCUUGGCCUCCCAAAGUGUUGGGAUUACAGGUGUGAGCCACCAUGCCUGGAUUCUCCACCUUUUUUGUCUUUGACCACCCUGUUCCUCUAGGUUGAUAUGCUUCCCCCUCCCUUUUGAAUGACUUAUUUUUGCUUUAAAACCUAUUUCCAUUGUCGUCUCUUCCAGGAAGCUUUCUGUGACCCUUGAAGGCAAAGUGUGAAGACUUUCUCUAACUCUUUGCUUGUUUUCUUCAUUAGAUUGAGCUCUGCCAAGUACAGACUGUGUCAUAGUGUUCUCAGUGUCCCAGGAGUAACCUACUCCAUUCAAAUCAGUUUUCUUAAAGUCCUAAUGGCCCCACUGUUGCCAAACACAACAGACAUUUCACAGUCCUUAUAUAUUUUCCCUUUUAAUGGAAUAUUACACUGUUUACAAGUUCCUCCUUCUUGAUGCCUUCUACUGUGGAUUGAAUUGUGCCCUCAAAAAUACGUGAAGGGCCGGGCGCGGUGGCUCACGCCUGU
rnacentral:lncRNA from 10 species